rnacentral:ncRNA from 1 species
CUGUGAUGGUUCCCCGGUUUUGGGGAUGAAAAGGGAACGCGGUGCGGUCCCGUGGGGGAAAGCCCCCUCGUGACUAAAUCCGCGGCUGUUCCCGCAACUGUGAGCGGCGAGUUCACUCCACUGAGCGCCACUGGAAGGUCUUGAACACUUCCGGGAAGGCUAGGAGGGGGCGACGAUCCGCAAGCCAGGAGACCUGCCAUCGCUUA